rnacentral:rRNA from 1 species
GAUGAACGCUGGCGGCGUGCCUAACACAUGCAAGUCGAACGGAGAUUACGGACGGAAGUUUUCGGAUGGAAGACUGUAAUUCUUAGUGGCGGACGGGUGAGUAACGCGUGGGCAACCUGCCCUAUACAGGGGGAUAGCAGCUGGAAACGGCUGGUAAGACCGCAUAAGUCGGUUAAAUCGCAUGAUUUGAUCGGGAAAUGAGCAAUCAGGUAUAGGAUGGGCCCGCGUCCGAUUAGCCAGUUGGCAGGGUAAAAGCCUACCAAAGCGACGAUCGGUAGCCGGACUGAGAGGUCGGACGGCCACAUUGGGACCGAGACACGGCCCAAACUCCUACGGGAGGCAGCAGUGGGGGAUAGUGCACAAUGGAGGAAACUCUGAUGCAGCGACGCCGCGUGAGUGAAGAAGUAUUUCGGUAUGUAAAGCUCUAUCAGCAGGGAAGAUGAUGACGGUACCUGACUAAGAAGCCCCGGCUAACUACGUG